rnacentral:rRNA from 1 species
UAAAGUCAAAUUAAUUGGUUAAAGCUAAUAAAUAACUACUAUUAAGUACAACAACUCUACUUAUUAUUGUAAGAGUAAAAUCUUUAUAAAUAAGAUAGGAAUGUGUUAAUGUAACAUUAAUUCUCUUACGAGGCGCUAGCAUAAAGACUAGGAUUAGAUACCCUAUUAUGGGCGUGAGUAUGAAAGUUUAUUAAGUUAAUAGCCUUAAUUAAAGCAAAACCUAUUUACUAUGGCGGCUGUUAGUCUCACCAGAGUCGUAUGUCCUUAAACGAAACUGCGCGAUCAUCUUACCUUUUAACUUUUGCUAAUAUAAAAUAAUUACAUUAUAGCAAUCUGGCACGUCGCUGUACUAAAAGUGAAGAUUUUAAAUAACUCAUCUUCUAAUUACUUAUUAGCAUUUAUUAAUAACGUACAAGUCAAGACGCCGUUUUAAGAGGCUUAAGAUGUACGAUUUAAUUGAUUUGAUAGAAUUUAUAAGAAUGAAAACUUUCUUUAUUAAAAUAAUUUGGAAGUAAAAUAGGGUUAUUAUUCUUAUUUGAAAUGAGCUACUAAUAAGU